UACGUAGGGUCCUAGCGUUGCUCGGAAUUACUGGGCGUAAAGGGUGCGUAGGCCGAUCUCCAAGUCAGGGGGUAAAUCCCGAGGCUCAACCUCGGACUUCUUCUGAAACUAGAGAUCUUGAGUAUGGUAGAAGGCAGUGGAAUUCCUAGUGUAGGGGUAAAAUCCGUAGAUAUUAGGAGGAACACCGAUGGCGAAAGCAGCUGCCUGGGCCAUUACUGACGCUGAGGCACGAAAGUGUGGGGAGCAAACA
rnacentral:rRNA from 1 species